rnacentral:rRNA from 1 species
AAGAAAGUAAGCAAGGGCGCAUGGCGGAUGCCUUGGCUCUCGGAGGCGAUGAAGGACGUGAUAAGCUGCGAUAAGCUUCGGGAAGGUGCAAAUAACCUUUGAUCCGAAGAUUUCCGAAUGGGACAACCCGGCAUUCUGAAGGAAUGUCAUCUUGCAUAGCAAGAGGCUAACGCAGGGAACUGAAACAUCUUAGUACCUGCAGGAAAAGAAAAUAAUAAUGAUUCCCCAAGUAGUGGCGAGCGAACGGGGAUUAGCCCAAACCAAUGUUGUUACGGCAAUAUUGGGGUUGUAGGACCACGAUGUCGCAAGAAAUUUAGUGAGAAGAACCCUUUGGAAAAUGGGACCAUAGACGGUGAUAGUCCGGUAUUCGAAGCUAAACGAAGCGUAGUGGUAUCCUGAGUAGCGCGGGACACGAGGAAUCUUGCGUGAAUCUGCCGGGACCAUCCGGUAAGGCUAAAUACUCCCGAGAGACCGAUAGCGAACCAGUACUGUGAAGGAAAGGUGAAAAGCACUUCGAAUAGAAGAGUGAAAUAGUCCCUGAAACCGUGCGCCUACAAGCGGUCGGAGCAGCGUAAGUUGUGACGGCGUGCCUUUUGCAUAAUGAACCUACGAGUUACUUUUUCCGGCAAGGUUAAGCAUUUUAAAAUGUGUAGCCGAAGCGAAAGCGAGUCUGAACAGGGCGAUUAGUCGGAAGGAGUAGACGCGAAACCAAGUGAUCUACCCUUGGUCAGGUUGAAGGUUAGGUAACACUAACUGGAGGACCGAACCGAUAAGCGUUGAAAAGCUUCCGGAUGAACUGAGGGUGGGGGUGAAAGGCUAAUCAAACUUGGAGAUAGCUCGUACUCCCCGAAAUGCAUUUAGGUGCAGCCUUGGGAAUUACUACUGUGAGGUAGAGCGACUGAUAAGAUGCGAGGGCUUCACCGCCUAUCAAGUCUUGAUAAACUCCGAAUGCGCAGUAGUUCGAUCCCAGGAGUGAGGGCAUGGGUGCUAAGGUCCAUGUCCUAAAGGAGAAGAAUCCGGACCAUCAGCUAAGGUCCCGAAAUAAUUGCUAAGUUGAACUAACGAAGUCAGAUUGCUAAGACAGCUAGGAUGUUGGCUUGGAAGCAGCCAUUCAUUUAAAGAGUGCGUAACAGCUCACUAGUCGAGGAGUUUGGCGUGGAUAAUAAUCGGGCAUUAAGCAAUUUACCGAAGCUAUGGGAU